GACGAACGCUGGCGGCGUGCUUAACACAUGCAAGUCGAACGGAAAGGCCCUGCUUUUGUGGGGUGCUCGAGUGGCGAACGGGUGAGUAACACGUGAGUAACCUGCCCUUGACUUUGGGAUAACUUCAGGAAACUGGGGCUAAUACCGGAUAGGAGCUCCUGCUGCAUGGUGGGGGUUGGAAAGUUUCGGCGGUUGGGGAUGGACUCGCGGCUUAUCAGCUUGUUGGUGGGGUAGUGGCUUACCAAGGCUUUGAAUGGUAGCCGGCCUGAGAGGGUGACCGGCCACAUUGGGACUGAGAUACGGCCCAGACUCCUACGGGAGGCAGCAGUGGGGAAUAUUGCACAAUGGGCGGAAGCCUGAUGCAGCAACGCCGCGUGCGGGAUGACGGCCUUCGGGUUGUAAACCGCUUUCGCCUGUGACGAAGCGUGAGUGACGGUAAUGGGUAAAGAAGCACCGGCUAACUACGUG
rnacentral:rRNA from 1 species